CUUCGUCACAGCUUCCGGUGUUGUUGGAUUGUCCGGGCCCCACGAUCAUGGCUUAUAGCGUAAACGCUUUGUUCGUUCGGCUCGCGCGACUUAAUAACACGAUUACAUCUACACCAAUC
rnacentral:pre_miRNA from 14 species